rnacentral:rRNA from 1 species
GUGAGGAAUAUUGGUCAAUGGGCGCGAGCCUGAACCAGCCAAGUAGCGUGAGGGAUGACUGCCCUAUGGGUUGUAAACCUCUUUUGCAGGGGAAUAAAGUGCAGGACGUGUCCUGUUUUGUAUGUACCCUGAGAAUAAGGAUCGGCUAACUCCGUGCCAGCAGCCGCGGUAAUACGGAGGAUCCGAGCGUUAUCCGGAUUUAUUGGGUUUAAAGGGUGCGUAGGUGGUUUGAUAAGUCAGCGGUGAAAGUUUGCAGCUUAACUGUAAAAAUGCCGUUGAAACUGUCGGACUUGAGUGUAAAUGAGGUAGGCGGAAUGCGUGGUGUAGCGGUGAAAUGCAUAGAUAUCACGCAGAACUCCGAUUGCGAAGGCAGCUUACUAAGCUACAACUGACACUGAAGCACGAAAGCGUGGGGAUCAAACAGGAUUAGAAACCCCGGUAGUCC